rnacentral:rRNA from 1 species
UGGGAGUUAUACGUAUCCGGUAAGGAUACGUGGCGCACGGCUGAGUAACACGUGGCUAACCUACCCUCCGGACCGGAAUAACCCCGGGAAACUGGGGAUAAUUCCGGAUAGGUAUGGACAUCUGGAAGGAGUUCAUACCCAAAUGCUCGUUUGCUGUUACCGUAGGCGAGUGCCGGAGGAUGGGGCUGCGGCCCAUCAGGUAGUUGGGGGGGUAAAGGCCCUCCAAGCCUAUAACGGGUAGGGGCCGUGAAAGCGGGAGCCCCCAGAUGGGCACUGAGACAAGGGCCCAGGCCCUACGGGGUGCACCAGGCGCGGAACGUUCACAAUGCGCGAAAGCGUGAUGGCGCUACCCUGAGUGCCCUUUGGGCUUUUCUCCGCUCUAUAAAGGCGGAGGAAUAAGCGGGGGGCAAGACUGGUGUCAGCCGCCGCGGUAAUACCAGCCCCGCGAGUGAUCGGGACGCUUAUUGGGCCUAAAGCGCCCGUAGCCGGCCUUAUAAGUCCGUGCUUAAAGACCCGGGCUCAACCUGGGAGGGGGCACGGAUACUGUAAGGCUAGGGGGCGGGAGAGGCCAGGGGUACUUCCAGAGUAGGGGCGAAAUCCUCAGAUACUGGAAGGACCACCAGUGGCGAAGGCGCCUGGCUAGAACGCGCCCGACGGUGAGGGGCGAAAGCCAGGGUAGCAAAGGGGAUUAGAUACCCCCGUAGUCCUGGCUGUAAACGAUGCGGGCUAGAUGUUAGCUGGGCUUUGUGCCCAGCUAGUGUCGCAGGGAAGCCGUUAAGCCCGCCGCCUGGGGAGUACGGCCGCAAGGCUGAAACUUAAAGGAAUUGGCGGGGGAGCACCACAAGGGGUGGAACCUGCGGCUCAAUUGG